UCCAGACUCCUACGGGAGGCAGCAGUGGGGAAUAUUGCACAAUGGGGGAAACCCUGAUGCAGCAACGCCGCGUGAGUGAAGAAGUAUUUCGAUAUGUAAAGCUCUAUCAGCAGGGAAGAAGAUGACGGUACCUGAGUAAGAAGCCCCGGCUAACUACGUGCCAGCAGCCGCGGUAAUACGUAGGGGGCAAGCGUUAUCCGGAUUUACUGGGUGUAAAGGGAGCGUAGACGGUGAUGCAAGUCAGAAGUGAAAGCCCGGGGCUCAACUCCGGGACUGCUUUUGAAACUGUGUGACUGGAGUGCAGGAGAGGUAAGCGGAAUUCCUGGUGUAGCGGUGAAAUGCGUAGAUAUUAGGAGGAACACCAGUGGCGAAGGCGGCUUACUGGACUGUAACUGACGUUGAGGCCCGAAAGCGUGAGGAGCAAACAGGAUUAGAUACCCUUGUA
rnacentral:rRNA from 1 species